GUUUGUUGUCACUGCGUUUGUUGCUCCCUCUUCUGAUUAAAGUUGAGGAAACUCGCUGGCAGAAUUGAACCAAUAAUUACAAUUGCCACAACUGAGUAA